rnacentral:rRNA from 1 species
GAUGAACGCUGGCGGCGUGCCUAAUACAUGCAAGUCGAGCGAACGGACGAGAAGCUUGCUCCUCUGAUGUUAGCGGCGGACGGGUGAGUAACACGUGGAUAACCUACCUAUAAGACUGGGAUAACUUCGGGAAACCGGAGCUAAUACCGGAUAAUAUUUUGAACCGCAUGGUUCAAAAGUGAAAGACGGUCUUGCUGUCACCUAUAGAUGGAUCCGCGCUGCAUUAGCUAGUUGGUAAGGUAACGGCUUACCAAGGCAACGAUGCAUAGCCGACCUGAGAGGGUGAUCGGCCACACUGGAACUGAGACACGGUCCAGACUCCUACGGGAGGCAGCAGUAGGGAAUCUUCCGCAAUGGGCGAAAGCCUGACGGAGCAACGCCGCGUGAGUGAUGAAGGUCUUCGGAUCGUAAAACUCUGUUAUUAGGGAAGAACAUAUGUGUAAGUAACUGUGCACAUCUUGACGGUACCUAAUCAGAAAGCCACGGCUAACUACGUG